AGUGGAAUUACUGGGUCAUAUAGUCACUAUGUUUAACUUUUUGAGUAACUGCCAAACUCUUUCCCAAUCUAGCUGCACUAUUUUACAUUCCCACAAGCAAU
rnacentral:pre_miRNA from 1 species